CUGAUCCNGCAAUGCCGCGUGAGUGAAGAAGGCCUUCGGGUUGUAAAGCUCUUUUGUCAGGGAAGAAACGGUGGACUCUAAUACAGAUCACUAAUGACGGUACCUGAAGAAUAAGCACCGGCUAACUACGUGCCAGCAGCCGCGGUAAUACGUAGGGUGCAAGCGUUAAUCGGAAUUACUGGGCGUAAAGCGUGCGCAGGCGGUUUGGUAAGACAGAUGUGAAAUCCCCGGGCUCAACCUGGGAAUUGCAUUUGUGACUGCCCGGCUAGAGUGUGUCAGAGGGGGGUAGAAUUCCACGUGUAGCAGUGAAAUGCGUAGAGAUGUGGAGGAAUACCGAUGGCGAAGGCAGCCCCCUGGGAUAACACUGACGCUCAUGCACGAAAGCGUGGGGAGCAAACAGGAUUAGAUACCCUGGUAGUCCACGCCCUAAACGAUGUCUACUAGUUGUCGGGACUUAAUUGUCUUGGUAACGCAGCUAACGCG
rnacentral:rRNA from 1 species